CACCGUUAUUGUAGGGGGACGACAUAUACACAUGGACGACGAGGACACGAUUCGCGCGGCCAAGUUGCUGCGCGACGAUGAUGGGACCGACGGCAGUGGCUUAGACAGCGUCCCUGCAACGACAGCAGACCCGUCCGGAUACUACGCCCGCCUCGGCGUUUCUCCAAAGGCGACGCAGCAGGAUAUACGCCGUGCGUUUCUGUUCCUCAGUCAGCGUUAUCAUACGGACAAGCACGCGAGUCAAUGCGACACGGUGCAGAACUUGAUGAACGAGCGCUUCCAGGAGCUGCAGGAUGCCUACGUAGUGCUGUCCGACGAGCGGCAGCGCGCUGCGUAUGACGCAGGCGGUGACAAGGGGAUCCAGCGGUUGGCCCUCGUCCCAGCCGGACUUUACCGGCGCGAGGACAUCUUGAACUACAUCUUGUCUCUCGACAGAGAAGCGCAGCUGCUGCGCACCGCACAGAUGCUCUCGGCGACCUCGCAGACAACGGUGAGCUUCUCCACCGCCCACUUGUUCAGCUUCCCAGGGCCGAGUGAGGGCAUUGGCAGCAGCAGCAGCAGCAGCGGCGUCGAGGACGGCGACGACGCUGAGUCGAGCACCCACGGAGGCAGAGACAGUUCCGAAGACGAAAAGCCACCGUCUGAGCAGCCUCAGCCCGCCCCAUCAUCGCUCCACGAGCAGCAGACGGCGACGCGACCCAUGACCGCGUCCGCCACCACUUCCUUCCCUGUUGGCGACACCUCCACAACAGCUCCGUCAACACCCGCUCCUGCAGCAGCGCCACUGCAGAGCGCGACACCGCCGGCGAAUACCACAGCGGCCAGAGUGGUUGAGAAAGGCGCUCCCCCUGCCUCGGCUGCUGCGGUGCAGGCACAACUCACGGCCAAGGAGGUCGUCAUCGAUGGCCAGCGUCACAUUGUGCUAAUCCCGAACCAGGAGGUGCAGCAGCAACUCAGACAGCGGAUGCGAGGGCUGGCCGCCGGGGAGGCGUCUGCACCGUCCCUCUCCGGCAGCAGCGGUGGUGCCUUGCCUCGAGCGGCGCCGCGGCUGCACCGCAUGCCCGUGCCGCAAGCGCUCAUGUUUGCCGUCGUGCCCAAGUCCAUGACGUUCCGAAGCUCCUUCCAGCAUCUCGUCGCGCCGCGGCUCUCCCUCACCUUCCGCACGGACAGCACCUCACGGAUGCAGAAGACGACCACAAGCCUCACCACCGCGGCAGAGUACCGCCCCGACGACGUGCGUACGUAUGAAACGUCGCUGCGCAUGGCCGUGAAUGGGCUGAAGUGGUGCGUCAUGCAGGCGCGUGCCCUGAACCCGCUGUGGACGCUCAAGGCGAAGCUCACUGUAUUGACGAACUCGGCGCUACUGCAGAAGCUGGAGCUCACCCUAACGCGCAAGAUGUCGGCGACGGCGGAGCUGGAGAAUGUGCUGGCCAUGUCGCUCACUGAGCACGGCUACUUCCGUUCCAGCUUCAACGAUUUUACGGAGGAUGUGCAGCAGGGCCUCAGCACCUACAUGGCGUUCCACAACAUGUACGUCACCGCCUUCACCGGCAAGAAGUUCGUGCUGGGCGUGGACACGAAGGACCCCAAGCACCCGCCUGUGUACGGCCGGAUGCAGUACUCGGUGAACUGCUCACCGCUCGCUGGGCAGUCGACCUUUGGCAUUGAGGCCUGGUACUUACCCUCAAAGACGCAGCGGUACGGCCUGGCCUUCACGGCAGUCGUGCCCUAUGCCGUCAGUCCCAUCGCACCGCCCUUCUUCAUUGUGCGAAGUGCGCAGUUCGCCGUUGUGAAUCAGGUAUCCAUCCUGUACGCCCGCGGCCGCCACCGCAUCUCCGUCCCCAUCAUCGUCUUUAUUUCGCCCAAGGUGAGCCACGCGCUCAUGUGGUUGUCCGCGCCACUGACGCUGUACCGCAUCGGAUCAAUGCUCUACCGGCCCUACGCCCGCGCCAAGGCGAUCCGGUACUACACCGAGCAGCGUGAACUGCACAUUGCGGAGAUGGACGUGGCGCGAGAGAGGGCUCGUAUGGAGCAGCUCGCCCUCGAAAGCCUGGUGCUGAUGAGCCGCGCGAAGGAGGAGCGGAAGGGUGGCCUUGUUAUUAUCAACGCUCGCUACGGUGUGAUUGAGCCUCAGUUCGCCGAGAUCGUGCCCCCGGUGUCACCGGGGGUGAACCGCUCGCCGUCCGGGUGGUGGCCGUCGCAGAUUAUGGCUCGUGUGGUGAAGCGCCUCGUCCGAGGGUGGAUGCGGCGCCGCGGCACCGCUAAGGCUUCGUUGGAGGCCGAGGCGGACACGGAGGCGCGGCACAGCUCAAUGCGCAGUGACGCCAUUCCGCUGUCCAUCGACGUCACUAUCGCGAUGCAGAACCUGGUGCGUGACUCGGCGCUGACGCUGCCCGCAGGCACGAAGAGCUCACUGGUCGGUUUCUGCAACCCUGAUCCGUACACGCCAGAGCUCCAGAAUCUAAAGAUUGUGUACUGGUUUCGCAAGCGCAAGCACAUGGCGGUAUUCAAGGAUGACGAGGAAGUAGAGCUGCCGCAGCGAGAGCACCUAAUCAAGCCUUGAGUGUCUCCCUCCUUCCCUUCCUAUCCCUCUGUGUCUCCCUGCGUAUCUAAGCGUGUGUAUGUGUUUGACCGAGAAAGUCGCCAAGGAAGACGAGGACCAUGUGCGAGGCAAAAAAAAACAAUCUCUCUGGAGAGCAGGUCCUUGAGCCCGGCACACGUGAAGCUCCAGCGCGCGCCUCGCCCUGGGCGAUAGGAGCGCUGCCAGGUGUGCAAUGGCAGACCUCCAUGCCGCCGCCCCCCUUCCCCUUUCCUCUCCCACGGCUUUCCCAUCGGGCACCUGCGGCGAAGGUUAUCGGUGCUGCCGCAAAUCCUCUACACGUAGCCGCCGCUUGCUUUGUUGAGGGUGCGUGUAUGUGGCUUGCCCACCCACGUGUGCGCGUAUGCCGUUCGCCGGCGGCAUAUCACGUCCUGCGUGUGGGUGGUUGUCUGACAUGGGCGAAUAGGAACAAGAAGGGCGAGAGGCUCGGCUGAUGCCGCACAUGCUCGCGGUUCCAUGGACGGGUGCCAAGACCAACGUGGCGCGGCUCGCAGCGGAACACGCCGAUGUGUGUGUGUGUGUGUUGGCGUGCUUGCUGCGUUUCGCACCUCUUCACUGGCGCGAGUAGUUGCGUCGAGGGCAUCAGGCACGCGCGGCCGUUGAAGGCUCAGAGGCGGGGUAGGGUGGUGGGGGGGGGGAAGGUGAGCCGGGCGAGAGCCGCCGCUCCCUCUCCCUCCCUCGAGAAGAAACGGCACACGCAUGUGUGUGCGUGUGCUUGAGUUUGUUGCACGGUGAUGUGAGUGGCAAUGACACCACGGUGCACUCUGACAUGUUCCACCGCAUACGGUGCACCUCUUCGCUCUCGCAGAUCCAGAGAACCCUUUGCUACGUCGUGUGCCUCUUCUGGCACGCCGUCUUCUCCCUUUCGCUCGCUUGCCGCACCUCCCCCUCCCUUCCCUCGCUGACGCAUGUGGUGCAUGCCGCCCCGCUCACCCACUCUGCUUCUCAUAUACUCCCUCUCCUACGCGCCUUCACUCUCAACCUCAUCUUCCCCCUCCUCCCCUCUUUCACACAG
rnacentral:misc_RNA from 1 species